rnacentral:lncRNA from 1 species
UGGAAGUAGUCACGUAUGUUUGGCACUUUAUGACUUACAAAUGCUUUUCUAUAAAUGAUCUCAUAUGGGCCUCAAAACAACCCUGCGAGGCCGGUGUUACGGUCUCCUUUUCAUAGAGGAGGAAAUUAAAGCGCGGCGAGAUGAAGUGACUUGCCUGGGGUCGCAGGCCUGCGGCGGAACCCGGUUCGGACCGAUGCGGACCCAGGCCGGACUCCAUCGUCCUCCUUCUCAAAAGCCCAGGUUGUGUAUCUUAGUUGCACGUCCUUCUAGCUGUGAGAUGUGGGAUGUGGGACGCCGCCUCAACGUGGCCUGACGAGCAGUGCCAUGUCCGCGCCCAGGAUCCGAACCCUGGGCCACCACAGUGGAGCAUGCGAACUUAACCACUCAGCCACGGAGCCGGCCCCUACAUCUCAAUUUAAAAAAAGAGAUAACAAAAAGCCGCGGAAGCUGAAGCAAGGACGGCCCGGAACUGGAGGAGAAGAGCAGGUGGUGCCAAGGAGAAGAGGAAAAGGAACGAAAGCAAUACUGUCUUCUCGCCCGCUGCCUCCCACAGCCUGAGGCUGCCCCACUCGGAGUUCAAGUCUGACAGUCCAAUCACAUACGAGGAGUUCCUAAAGAGGACAACAUGAGUGGAAAUCCCAGUGCCAAGCCAGGGGCCCUGGUCACCUG